AACUUUUAGCAACGGAUCACUUGGCUCUCGCAUCGAUGAAGUACGCAGCGAAAUGCGAUACGUAAUGUGAAUUGCAGAAUUCCGUGAAUCAUUGAAUCUUUGAACGCACCUUGCGCCCCUUGGUAUUCCGAGGGGCAUGCCUGUUUGAGUGUCAUUGAACCUCUCUCAACUUGACCUUUGUGGGUCAGGCUUGGAUUUGGAGAGUGCCGGCCCCCCUCAAGGUUUGGCUCCUCUAAAAAGUAUUAGCGAAAUGACUCUUGUCUGCGUUGGCAUUGAUAAUAAAUCUGUCUAUGCCUUGUGGCCUGUGUGGUUUUGCUUAAAACACCGUUCUACGCUCUACUCAACAAUCACCUCAAAUCAGGCAGGACUACCCGCUGAACUUAAGCAUAUCAAUAAGCGGAGGCU
rnacentral:misc_RNA from 1 species